rnacentral:rRNA from 1 species
UCGGGAAUAUUGCGCAAUGGAGGAAACUCUGACGCAGUGACGCCGCGUGCAGGAAGAAGGUUUUCGGAUUGUAAACUGCUUUAGACAGGGAAGAAAAAAGACAGUACCUGUAGAAUAAGCUCCGGCUAACUACGUGCCAGCAGCCGCGGUAAUACGUAGGGAGCGAGCGUUAUCCGGAUUUAUUGGGUGUAAAGGGUGCGUAGACGGGAAAACAAGUUAGUUGUGAAAUCCCUCGGCUUAACUGAGGAACUGCAACUAAAACUAUUUUUCUUGAGUACUGGAGAGGAAAGUGGAAUUCCUAGUGUAGCGGUGAAAUGCGUAGAUAUUAGGAGGAACACCAGUGGCGAAGGCGACUUUCUGGACAGAAACUGACGUUGAGGCACGAAAGUGUGGGGAGCAAACAGGAUUAGAUACC